rnacentral:rRNA from 2 species
CAAACGACUCUCGGCAACGGAUAUCUCGGCUCACGCAUCGAUGAAGAACGCAGCAAAAUGCGAUACUUGGUGUGAAUUGCAGAAUCCCGUGAACCAUCGAGUUUUUGAACGCAAGUUGCGCCCGAAGCCAUCCGGCUGAGGGCACGCCUGCCUGGGCGUCACGC